GAUGAACGCUAGCUACAGGCUUAACACAUGCAAGUCGAGGGGAAACGACAUCGAAAGCUUGCUUUUGAUGGGCGUCGACCGGCGCACGGGUGAGUAACGCGUAUCCAACCUGCCCACCACUUGGGGAUAACCUUGCGAAAGUAAGACUAAUACCCAAUGACGUCUCUAGAAGACAUCUGAAAGAGAUUAAAGAUUUAUCGGUGAUGGAUGGGGAUGCGUCUGAUUAGCUUGUUGGCGGGGUAACGGCCCACCAAGGCGACGAUCAGUAGGGGUUCUGAGAGGAAGGUCCCCCACAUUGGAACGGAGACACGGUCGAAACUCCUACGGGAGGCAGCAGUGAGGAAUAUUGGUCAAUGGGCGAGAGCCUGAACCAGCCAAGUAGCGUGCAGGAUGACGGCCCUAUGGGUUGUAAACUGCUUUUAUAAGGGAAUAAAGUGAGUCUCGUGAGACUUUUUGCAUGUACCUUAUGAAUAAGGACCGGCUAAUUCCGUGCCAGCAGCCGCGGUAA
rnacentral:rRNA from 1 species